UCCGGUGGAACAGACUGGACACUGCAGGGAGACAGCUCUGGGGAACGUGGGAAUUGGGGUUCACUGUUUGGUACCUGCAAAGCAAGCUUCCAAUAUAGAUCAGGCUGUGCUACGGACUGGGUGACAGCCGGCUCCAUCACCAUAUUUGACUUCCCCCGUGGACCACCUCACCAGAGAGGCCCUGGAGAUGGAAAUCUUCACUCUGAGGGAAUCUCCAAAGCUGAAACAAGGCACAGGAGUAAUUCAGAGUGCUCCUUCAGGCUGAUACAGGAGCAGGAUGGGAAAUAUGGGGGUAGCUGUACCCAUGGUUUAUUCCAGUACAGUGGUUCCUAUGUUGACUAUUCAGAAGCCGGCAAAAGAUUAGUUGAAAACAGAUGGCUCUUAAUUGGCAGCCCCAGCUUACUUCCUGUUUUCUGCAGAAACCAUUAAAUUAAGGUUUAAAUCAAACUUCA